GAUGAUGCUGGCAGAGCCACUUUCUGAGGAGACAAUAGUGGUCCCAGACUCUUUCCUCCCCAAUCUCGGAGCAGCUGGACUCAAAAAGGGAAGAAGCUUCUCCAGGAUGCCCCAGGGCAGCAACCCGGCAGGUGCCCUAGACUGAGGCACCGACAGGGCGCGAGCGCGCAGCCAGCGGGAGCAGGAGGGACGCGCAGGCAAGUACUCACAGGGGCCCUCUAUCAGGAGCAAUCAGUGUCCAGCAUCAGACAUCCUUCCAUCCAUAACCUUGCAGUCCAACCAGAGAGACAGGGAGGAGCUCACAAGGCCAUCAGCGAUCACCCAUGUGCUGUGAAAUCCAGGCCUAAUGUGUAUAGAUGGG